UUUAAAACUAGUUUUUUCUACAGUUGCAAUGUUAUUUGAUGUCUCUCUUUGUUGCUUUGGUCGUGAUUGGUUAAUCUAAACGUCAUCCAGGAAUCUGGCCAAUGACAACUGGGCACGCCUCCUACCGCUCAAAUUUGAAUUUACACACCAGUCCGUUGCUGCUCUGUUUAUCUGCAGUCCUGCUCCGUUCAGUGCAGUAGUAAUGGCUUUUACAUGGAUUAUCACAUAUCUGACAGAUGAAUUCUUAUUUUGACCGAUUUUGAGUUAUGCGGUGCAGAUUGAGAACGAAAAAGCGCGAAUAUGAACACAGACACAAUGGCUAAUGGACACAUAUUGCAAACGGCAGAAGAGAGGACAUGAAACCACCAUUCUUGGACUCUGAAGAAUACUAUGCAAACCAUAUGCUUUUGGAUCUACUGUUAAGUUUUUGUAAUAAAGCUGAGGUUUUGGGAUUGAAAAUCUUCUGCCACAUGAUCCGUAAAAGUGAGUAUACAUGUCAUGCUAACAUUAAUUCUUUAAAUGAUCAUGUGCUAUUAUAUGUGCUGAAAUGUGAACACAGCAAAGCAGGUAAACUCUGCACCAAGGCACCAAUCUGAUUCAAAGUUCAUUCUUGAGUUUAGCUCACUCAACAUGAA